UGGGGAAUAUUGCACAAUGGGCGCAAGCCUGAUGCAGCCAUGCCGCGUGUAUGAAGAAGGCCUUCGGGUUGUAAAGUACUUUCAGCGGGGAGGAAGGGAGUAAAGUUAAUACCUUUGCUCAUUGACGUUACCCGCAGAAGAAGCACCGGCUAACUCCGUGCCAGCAGCCGCGGUAAUACGGAGGGUGCAAGCGUUAAUCGGAAUUACUGGGCGUAAAGCGCACGCAGGCGGUUUGUUAAGUCAGAUGUGAAAUCCCCGGGCUCAACCUGGGAAAUGCAUCUGAUACUGGCAAGCUUGAGUCUCGUAGAGGGGGGUAGAAUUCCAGGUGUAGCGGUGAAAUGCGUAGAGAUCUGGAGGAAUACCGGUGGCGAAGGCGGCCCCCUGGACGAAGACUGACGCUCAGGUGCGAAAGCGUGGGGAGCAAACAGG
rnacentral:rRNA from 2 species